rnacentral:rRNA from 1 species
GUCGAGAAUAAUUCACAAUGGACGAAAGUCUGAUGGUGCAACGCCGCGUGGAGGAUGACGGUCUUCGGAUUGUAAACUCCUGUCAUCCGGGAGUAAGACCUGGCUGUGAAUAGCAGACAGGGUUGAUAGUACCGGAAGAGGAAGGGACGGCUAACUUCGUGCCAGCAGCCGCGGUAAUACGAAGGUCCCGAGCGUUGUUCGGAAUCACUGGGCGUAAAGGGAGCGUAGGCGGCGUGGUAAGUCAGAUGUGAAAUCCCGGGGCUCAACCCCUGAACUGCAGCCGAUACUGCCGUGCUAGAGGAGUGGAGAGGUAGCUGGAAUUCUCGGUGUAGCAGUGAAAUGCGUGGAUAUCGAGAGGAACACUCGUGGCGAAGGCGAGCUACUGGACAACAUCUGACGCUGAGGCUCGAAGGCCAAGGGAGCAAAAGGGAUUAGAAACCCCAGUAGUCC